UACAGGGGCCCCAAGCGUUAAUCGGAAUUACUGGGCGUAAAGGGCGCGUAGGCGGUCAGGUCAGUCCCGUGUGAAAUCCCUCGGCUCAACUGAGGAACUGCACGGGAAACUGCCUGGCUUGAGUUCGGGAGAGGGAAGCGGAAUUCCGGGUGUAGCGGUGAAAUGCGUAGAUAUCCGGAGGAACACCGGUGGCGAAGGCGGCUUCCUGGACCGACACUGACGCUGAGGCGCGAAAGCUAGGGGAGCAAACGGG
rnacentral:rRNA from 1 species